rnacentral:rRNA from 1 species
AGCGAACGCUGGCGGCAGGCCUAACACAUGCAAGUCGAACGAACUCUUCGGAGUUAGUGGCGGACGGGUGAGUAACACGUGGGAACGUGCCUUUUGGUUCGGAAUAACUCAGGGAAACUUGUGCUAAUACCGAAUGUGCCCUUCGGGGGAAAGAUUUAUCGCCAUUAGAGCGGCCCGCGUCUGAUUAGCUAGUUGGUGAGGUAACGGCUCACCAAGGCGACGAUCAGUAGCUGGUCUGAGAGGAUGACCAGCCACACUGGGACUGAGACACGGCCCAGACUCCUACGGGAGGCAGCAGUGGGGAAUCUUGCGCAAUGGGCGAAAGCCUGACGCAGCCAUGCCGCGUGAAUGAUGAAGGUCUUAGGAUUGUAAAAUUCUUUCACCGGGGACGAUAAUGACGGUACCCGGAGAAGAGGCCCCGGCUAACUUUGUG